UACGUAGGGGCGAGCGUUGUCCGGAUUUACUGGGCGUAAAGGGUGAGUAGGCGGUUAUGUGUGUCAGGUGUAAAAGGCGUAGGCUUAACUUACGUUAGCACUUGAAACUGCAUAACUUGAGUGCAGGAGAGGUAAGUGGAAUUCCUAGUGUAGCAGUGAAAUGCGUAGAUAUUAGGAGGAACACCAGUGGCGAAGGCGACUUACUGGACUGUAACUGACGCUGAGUCACGAAAGCGUGGGUAGCAAACAGGAUUAGAUACCCUGGUAGUCCCU
rnacentral:rRNA from 1 species